AGAGUUUUCCUGGUAUAUCCGCUCAUUCGAUCAGUAAUAACGUUAAACGCUUCAAAACUGAGACAAAUACUGCUCUCUAUUGAUUGUCCAACGAAGAGCAGUCACUCAGUGUUGGGUGGAAAGAAAUUGUUAACAACGACUGUGAAGUAGACUCCAUUGAGAUCAACGUAGUAUGGGUAUUUCUGGGGAGUUGUGUCAGGAGUCUGUUCUUGUUUGAACUGUGUUAUCGACUAGUUGCUUGGUAUAAAUAGAAUCUACCCUGUCGCAAAGGGAUUACUAACCUUUGGACAAGGUACUGUCUCAACAGCAUCAGAUUCAGCUUCUGUCAAUUAUUCAGUUCCUUUAGGAGGAACAUGGACCAUCAACCUGAAUUUAACAGAUGCAGACCAAUGGCUAGAUCAUGUCUACCUAAAAAGAGAUGGAAAUCGUCUCAUAAAGCUCAGAAAAGGUGAAGCUGGAAACGGCACUUGUUACAACGAGACACCUGGGUGCCAAACAUAUUACAACCUUCGCAAUAUUGGAGAAGGCAUAAUAGAAGUCACCAUCUGCUUAUUGUCGAAGUCAGUGCAGGGCUUUUAUGAGCUGUAUACCUAUUGUACAGGGACUGACCAUAACUGUAACAGAUAUGGUGCAAUUAAGACAUUUUGGCUCAUCACUGAAGAUGAGCAAAACCCCACAGAAGGAACAAGUGAAAACAAUAUUACAGAGGAAGAUUUCCCCUUUGUGAAGGGGUGUGCAAUGAACAUUCAUGGCAUUUGGUUAGGAAAGUUGACAUCUUUGUCAAUAGUUCCUCUACUAUGGUGGUUUAUUUAAAAAGUUUGGCAAGUUUCCAUAUUUCCUUGAAUAAGCC